rnacentral:rRNA from 1 species
AGAGUUUGAUCWUGGCUCAGAUUGAACGCUGGCGGCAUGCCUUACACAUGCAAGUCGAACGGUAACAGGUCUUCGGAUGCUGACGAGUGGCGAACGGGUGAGUAAUACAUCGGAACGUGCCCAGUAAUGGGGGAUAGCUCGGCGAAAGCCGGAUUAAUACCGCAUACGCCCUGAGGGGGAAAGUGGGGGACCGCAAGGCCUCACGUUAUUGGAGCGGCCGAUGGCUGAUUAGCUAGUUGGUAGGGUAAAGGCCUACCAAGGCGACGAUCAGUAGCUGGUCUGAGAGGACGAUCAGCCACACUGGGACUGAGACACGGCCCAGACUCCUACGGGAGGCAGCAGUGGGGAAUUUUGGACAAUGGGGGAAACCCUGAUCCAGCAAUGCCGCGUGUGCGAAGAAGGCCUUCGGGUUGUAAAGCACUUUUGUCAGGGAAGAAAUCCUUUGGGCUAAUACCCUAGGGGGAUGACGGUACCUGAAGAAUAAGCACCGGCUAACUACGUGCCAGCAGCCGCGGUAAUUCA